rnacentral:rRNA from 1 species
UGGGGAAUAUUGCACAAUGGGCGCAAGCCUGAUGCAGCCAUGCCGCGUGUGUGAAGAAGGCCUUCGGGUUGUAAAGCACUUUCAGCGAGGAGGAAGGUGGUGAGCUUAAUACGCUCAUCAAUUGACGUUACUCGCAGAAGAAGCACCGGCUAACUCCGUGCCAGCAGCCGCGGUAAUACGGAGGGUGCAAGCGUUAAUCGGAAUUACUGGGCGUAAAGCGCACGCAGGCGGUUUGUUAAGUCAGAUGUGAAAUCCCCGGGCUCAACCUGGGAACUGCAUUUGAAACUGGCAGGCUAGAGUCUCGUAGAGGGGGGUAGAAUUCCAGGUGUAGCGGUGAAAUGCGUAGAGAUCUGGAGGAAUACCGGUGGCGAAGGCGGCCCCCUGGACGAAGACUGACGCUCAGGUGCGAAAGCGUGGGGAGCAAAACAGGAUUAGAUACCCUGGUAGUCCACGCUGUAAAACGAUGUCGAUUUUGGAGGUUGUGCCCUUGAGGCGUGGCUUCCGGAGCUAACGCGUUAAAUCGACCGCCUGGGGAGUACGGCCGCAAGGUUAAAACUCAAAUGAAUU